rnacentral:rRNA from 1 species
CACGUAGGGUGCGAGCGUUGUCCGGAAUUAUUGGGCGUAAAGAGCUCGUAGGCGGUGUGUCGCGUCGGCCGUGAAAACCUGCAGCUUAACUGCAGGCUGGCGGUCGAUACGGGCAGGCUGGAGUUCGGUAGGGGAGACUGGAAUUCCUGGUGUAGCGGUGAAAUGCGCAGAUAUCAGGAGGAACACCGGUGGCGAAGGCGGGUCUCUGGGCCGAUACUGACGCUGAGGAGCGAAAGCGUGGGGAGCGAACAGG